UACGAAGGGGGCUAGCGUUGCUCGGAAUCACUGGGCGUAAAGCGCACGUAGGCGGAUCUUUAAGUCAGGGGUGAAAUCCCAAGGCUCAACCUUGGAACUGCCUUUGAUACUGGGGAUCUCGAGUCCGGAAGAGGUGAGUGGAACUGCGAGUGUAGAGGUGAAAUUCGUAGAUAUUCGCAAGAACACCAGUGGCGAAGGCGGCUCACUGGUCCGGUACUGACGCUGAGGUGCGAAAGCGUGGGGAGCAACAGGG
rnacentral:rRNA from 1 species